GGGCGGUUAGCUCAGCUGGCAGAGCGACUGGUUUACACCCAGUAGGUCGGCGGUUCGAUCCCGUCACCGCCCA
rnacentral:tRNA from 1 species